AUGGACCCAUUAUCAUCCACUUAAUGGGAGGCUAUGAUCUAGUUAUCACCAUAACUAUUUCAUUUUAAGGAUCUAAUAAUUUUAGAAGAUUUAAUUGAUUUAGAGGAGGAGAUCAGAUGAACCAGCUUAUCAUGAUCCUCCCACUGGCUUCACUAAGUUAGCUUAAGGGAGACCAUUAAAAGGGCUGGUCUAGGAGCACCUAAAUCAGUCACACUGAUUUACCUAGCUGACAUGGGUUAGCUCGAAUAAUCAAGUGAUCCGAUCAAAAUAUAAUUUCACCAAG
rnacentral:lncRNA from 1 species